AGAGUUUGAUCAUGGCUCAGAUUGAACGCUGGCGGCAGGCCUAACACAUGCAAGUCGAACGGUAACAGGAAGCAGCUUGCUGCUUCGCUGACGAGUGGCGGACGGGUGAGUAAUGUCUGGGAAGCUGCCUGAUGGAGGGGGAUAACUACUGGAAACGGUAGCUAAUACCGCAUAAUGUCGCAAGACCAAAGAGGGGGACCUUCGGGCCUCUUGCCAUCGGAUGUGCCCAGAUGGGAUUAGCUUGUUGGUGGGGUAACGGCUCACCAAGGCGACGAUCCCUAGCUGGUCUGAGAGGAUGACCAGCCACACUGGAACUGAGACACGGUCCAGACUCCUACGGGAGGCAGCAGUGGGGAAUAUUGCACAAUGGGCGCAAGCCUGAUGCAGCCAUGCCGCGUGUAUGAAGAAGGCCUUCGGGUUGUAAAGUACUUUCAGCGGGGAGGAAGGGAGUAAAGUUAAUACCUUUGCUCAUUGACGUUACCCGCAGAAGAAGCACCGGCUAACUCCGUGCCAGCAGCCGCGGUAAUACGGAGGGUGCAAGCGUUAAUCGGAAUUACUGGGCGUAAAGCGCACGCAGGCGGUUUGUUAAGUCAGAUGUGAAAUCCCCGGGCUCAACCUGGGAACUGCAUCUGAUACUGGCAAGCUUGAGUCUCGUAGAGGGGGGUAGAAUUCCAGGUGUAGCGGUGAAAUGCGUAGAGAUCUGGAGGAAUACCGGUGGCGAAGGCGGCCCCCUGGACGAAGACUGACGCUCAGGUGCGAAAGCGUGGGGAGCAAACAGGAUUAGAUACCCUGGUAGUCCACGCCGUAAACGAUGUCGACUUGGAGGUUGUGCCCUUGAGGCGUGGCUUCCGGAGCUAACGCGUUAAGUCGACCGCCUGGGGAGUACGGCCGCAAGGUUAAAACUCAAAUGAAUUGACGGGGGCCCGCACAAGCGGUGGAGCAUGUGGUUUAAUUCGAUGCAACGCGAAGAACCUUACCUGGUCUUGACAUCCACGGAAGUUUUCAGAGAUGAGAAUGUGCCUUCGGGAACCGUGAGACAGGUGCUGCAUGGCUGUCGUCAGCUCGUGUUGUGAAAUGUUGGGUUAAGUCCCGCAACGAGCGCAACCCUUAUCCUUUGUUGCCAGCGGUCCGGCCGGGAACUCAAAGGAGACUGCCAGUGAUAAACUGGAGGCAGGUGGGGAUGACGUCAAGUCAUCAUGGCCCUUACGACCAGGGCUACACACGUGCUACAAUGGCGCAUACAAAGAGAAGCGACCUCGCGAGAGCAAGCGGACCUCAUAAAGUGCGUCGUAGUCCGGAUUGGAGUCUGCAACUCGACUCCAUGAAGUCGGAAUCGCUAGUAAUCGUGGAUCAGAAUGCCACGGUGAAUACGUUCCCGGGCCUUGUACACACCGCCCGUCACACCAUGGGAGUGGGUUGCAAAAGAAGUAGGUAGCUUAACCUUCGGGAGGGCGCUUACCACUUUGUGAUUCAUGACUGGGGUGAAGUCGGAACAAGGUAACCGUAGGGGAACCUGCGGUUG
rnacentral:rRNA from 1 species